rnacentral:rRNA from 1 species
GACAGAGGGUGCAAACGUUGUUCGGAAUUACUGGGCGUAAAGCGCGUGUAGGCGGCUAAGUAAGUCGGGCGUGAAAUCCCACGGCUCAACCGUGGAACUGCUGGGUAUACUGCCUGUCUUGAGCCAGCUAGGGGCGAGCGGAACAGACGGUGGAGCGGUGAAAUGCGUAGAUAUCGUCUGGAACGCCGAAGGUGAAAACAGCUCGCUGGGGCUGUGCUGACGCUGAGACACGAAAGCCAGGGGAGCGAACGGG